CACAACGAAACCGCACACUCUGCUGCCUCGAUUUCCCCAUUGGAACCAUUCCCCAAGACUCCCAGAUCUCCUUCCCCUUCUCACCUGAGCGGAUUUGUUGCAGGGUCCGGAUUGCAAGAAUCUAGCGAUCAGGCUAAUUCUCUGGAGCGCAGAGGCCCUCUGGGUUCACUUUCCUGCCUGGGCUUCUAAGACCCUCUUGAGAAGGCACUCUGCACCUUCACCUGCCUCGAGAGGGUGCCUGAGGACUUCGUGAACAGAGCAAGCCCCAUGUCAGGGACUUUAUUGGUUUUCUGCAUAAACCAAGGAAUAUCAGCCUCUUUCUCUAUCCUUUACUUUCUUAUCAUCGACUCUGGACCACCAGGUUCAGUCCAUUAAAGGACCUCAACACAAUGGAAGUUAUCUUGUCUGAAAGCAACUGAAUCCAGAUAAAAAAAAAAAAUUUCAAAUCCACACGGAAAACAAAACUCAAUGGCAAAGAUAACUGGAUGAAUUACAAAAGACAGUAAAAAUAUAUUUCUCCUAUAUUGUUGAAUUAUUUUAUGAUUGUAUAAAAUAAAAUGUUUAACAUA